UGGCGGCACGCCUAACACAUGCAAGUCGAACGAAGUAGCAAUACUUAGUGGCAGACGGGUGAGUAACAUGUGGGUAUCUGCCCUUUGGCCUGGAAUAACACGAGGAAACUUGUGCUAAUACCGGAUAAGUCUUUACGGAGAAAGCUUUAUGCACCAUUGGAUGAGCCCGCACUUGAUUAGUUUGUUGGUGGGGUAAUGGCCUACCAAGACUGUGAUCAAUAGCUGAUUUGAGAGGAUGAUCAGCCACAUUGGGACUGAGACACGGCCCAAACUCCUACGGGAGGCAGCAGUGGGGAAUCUUGCACAAUGGAGGAAACUCUGAUGCAGCGAUGCCGCGUGAGUGAAGAAGGCCCUUGGGUUGUAAAGCUCUUUCGUCGGGGAAGAAAAUGACUGUACCCGAAUAAGAAGGUCCGGCUAACUUCGUGCCAGCAGCCGCGGUAAUACGAAGGGACCUAGCGUAGUUCGGAAUUACUGGGCUUAAAGAGUUCGUAGGUGGUUGAAAAAGUUGGUGGUGAAAUCCCAGAGCUUAACUCUGGAACUGCCAUCAAAACUUUUCAGCUAGAGUUUGAUAGAGGAAAGCAGAAUUUCUAGUGUAGAGGUGAAAUUCGUAGAUAUUAGAAAGAAUACCAAUUGCGAAGGCAGCUUUCUGGAUCAUUACUGACACUGAGGAACGAAAGCAUGGGUAGCGAAGAGGAUUAGAUACCCUCGUAGUCCAUGCUGUAAACGAUGUGUGUUAGACGUUGGAAAUUUAUUUUCAGUGUCGCAGCGAAAGCGAUAAACACACCGCCUGGGGAGUACGACCGCAAGGUUAAAACUCAAAUGAAUUGACGGGGACCCGCACAAGUAGUGGAGCAUGUGGUUUAAUUCGAAGAUACGCGCAGAACCUUACCAACACUUGACAUGUUCGUCGCGACUUUAAGAGAUUAAAGUUUUCGGUUCGGCCGGA
rnacentral:rRNA from 1 species